rnacentral:rRNA from 1 species
UACGUAGGGUCCGAGCGUUGUCCGGAAUUAUUGGGCGUAAAGGGCUCGUAGGCGGUUUGUCGCGUCGGGAGUGAGAACUCAGGGCUCAACCCUGAGCGUGCUUCCGAUACGGGCAGACUAGAGGUAUUCAGGGGAGAACGGAAUUCCUGGUGUAGCGGUGGAACGCGCAGAUAUCAGGAGGAACACCGGUGGCGAAGGCGGUUCUCUGGGAAUUACCUGACGCUGAGGAGCGAAAGCAUGGGGAGCGAACAGG